GAUGAACGCUGGUGGCGUGCUUAACACAUGCAAGUCGAACGGAAAGGCUCCUGCUUGCAGGGGUACUCGAGUGGCGAACGGGUGAGUAACACGUGGGUGAUCUGCCCAGCACUUCGGGAUAAGCCUGGGAAACUGGGUCUAAUACCGGAUAGGACGAUGGUUUGGAUGCCAUUGUGGAAAGUUUUUUCGGUGUGGGAUGAGCUCGCGGCCUAUCAGCUUGUUGGUGGGGUAAUGGCCUACCAAGGCGUCGACGGGUAGCCGGCCUGAGAGGGUGUACGGCCACAUUGGGACUGGGAUACGGCCCAGACUCUUACGGGAGGCAGCAGUGGGGAAUAUUGCACAAUGGGCGCAAGCCUGAUGCAGCGACGCCGCGUGGGGGAUGACGGCCUUCGGGUUGUAAACUCCUUUCGCUAGGGACGAAGCGCAAGUGACGGUACCUGGAGAAGAAGCACCGGCUAACUACGUG
rnacentral:rRNA from 1 species